GAGAGGAACUUGUUCCUCGAGUCGUUGAUUUCACACUGCCGAGAAAAGCCUCUAGCUAGAAUAACGGUGCCCGUACCGCAAACCGACACAGGUAGUCAAGAUGAGAAUUCUAAGGUGAGCGAGCGAACUCUCGUUAAGGAACUCGGCAAAAUGACCCCGUAACUUCGGGAGAAGGGGUGCUCUUUGAGGUUCACGCUUCGAAGAGCCGCAGUGAAUAGGCCCAAGCGACUGUUUAUCAAAAACACAGGUCUCUGCUAAACCGUAAGGUGACGUAUAGGGGCUGACGCCUGCCCGGUGCUGGAAGGUUAAGAGGAGUGGUUAGCGCAAGCGAAGCUACGAAUCGAAGCCCCAGUAAACGGCGGCCGUAACUAUAACGGUCCUAAGGUAGCGAAAUUCCUUGUCGGGUAAGUUCCGACCCGCACGAAAGGCGUAACGAUUUGGGCACUGUCUCAACGAGAGACUCGGUGAAAUCAUAGUACCGGUGAAGAUGCCGGUUACCCGCGACAGGACGGAAAGACCCCGUGGAGCUUUACUGUAGCCUGAUAUUGAAAUUCGGUACAGUUUGUACAGGAUAGGUAGGAGCCUUAGAAGCGUGAGCGCUAGCUUACGUGGAGGCAUUGGUGGGAUACUACCCUAAUUGUAUUGGAUUUCUAACCCGCAGCACUUAUCGUGCUGGGAGACAGUGUCAGGCGGGCAGUUUGACUGGGGCGGUCGCCUCCUAAAGAGUAACGGAGGCGCUCAAAGGUUCCCUCAGAAUGGUUGGAAAUCAUUCAUAGAGUGUAAAGGCAUAAGGGAGCUUGACUGCGAGACCUACAAGUCGAGCAGGGUCGAAAGACGGACUUAGUGAUCCGGUGGUUCCGCAUGGAAGGGCCAUCGCUCAACGGAUAAAAGCUACCCCGGGGAUAACAGGCUUAUCUCCCCCAAGAGUUCACAUCGACGGGGAGGUUUGGCACCUCGAUGUCGGCUCAUCGCAUCCUGGGGCUGUAGUCGGUCCCAAGGGUUGGGCUGUUCGCCCAUUAAAGCGGUACGCGAGCUGGGUUCAGAACGUCGUGAGACAGUUCGGUCCCUAUCCGUCGUGGGCGUAGGAAAUUUGAGAGGAGCUGUCCUUAGUACGAGAGGACCGGGAUGGACAUACCUCUGGUGUACCAGUUGUCGUGCCAACGGCAUAGCUGGGUAGCUAUGUAUGGACGGGAUAAGUGCUGAAAGCAUCUAAGCAUGAAGCCCCCCU
rnacentral:rRNA from 1 species